GAUGAACGCUGGCGGCGUGCCUAACACAUGCAAGUCGAGCGAACAGACGAGGAGCUCGUUCUUCUAAGGGUGGCGACGGGCGGGUGAGUGACACGUACAUCACCAUCUACUUUGACUGGGAUAACUUCGGAAAGAAGGAGACAAUACCGGCUAAUAUAUCGUACCGCAUGGUUCAAUAGUGAAUGGCGGCUUUGCUGUCACUUAUAGAUGAUGCCGCGCCGGAUUAGCUAGUUGGUAAGGUAACGGCUCACCAAGGCAACGAUGCGGAGCCGACCUGAGAGGGUGAUCGGCCACACUGGAACUGAGACACGGUCCAGACUCCUACGGGAGGCAGCAGUAGGGAAUAUUGGACAAUGGGCGAAAGCCUGAUGCAGCCACACCGCGUGGGUGAUGAAGGUCUUCGGAUUGUAAAGCUCUUUUGUUGGGGAAGAACAGAAGUAGAAUUAACUCUGCACGUUUUGACGGUACCUAAAGAAAAAGCAACGGCUAACUACGUG
rnacentral:rRNA from 1 species